CUAUGAUGUUCCUAGAUACUGAUGGGAACUGCAGUGGCACAUGGUGAAUUGCCAGUCCCUGCAGCAGCUGAUGAAACCUUUGCAAAAAUAUAGUAAAGGCUGUAAUCCCACUGAUGAAUAGUCACAUAGUUUGCCUUGCAGCAACUUUUGCAUCUGCAUUGUUCAGGCUGCAUCUAAUUUUGCCCCAACAUUCAGCUGAAGAAUAGAUAUACUAUGCAUCAAGGUGUAAUUUUAAGAAAAUGGUGGCUUCAUUUGUUUCAUCAUAAGUCAUUCAAAUUUCAGUGGUGUCUAGAACAUUAUUAAGUAACAUAUUCUAAUAUUUACCAAGAUGUUUUAAAAAGACAAUUGCUCAUAAUUCUAAAAUGCCUUCUUUUCUUGAUUACUUCUCAUUCGUCAUUUCAAUAAAAUAAAUAUUCAAACCUUGAACUGCAGAAUAUAUGAAGUAAUCAUGCCAAAUGGUGAUAUGUUAUGAAAUGCUUGAAAACACAGAAUAUAUUGUUAGUGCCUGAGGAAGGCUGUCAAAACUAUCAAUGAUACUGUUUGAAUUUUCCACUGAUGAUAACUGCAAAAUCUAAAAUUUACAUCUGUCCAAACAUGCAUUUCACAUCACCAUAUCAUAGCUAAAAGUUGUGAAGAACUAAAUUGGUUUGAGUGAAAUGCUGAGCACUGCAGUGUGUAUGCCAAUCACUUAGCCAGGGACACUAAAUUUUGUCAUCAUGGUAACUGAGAUCCACCUAAAACAACGAUGCCUAGCUUCUUAAUACACUGAUGAUUUAUAUCCAACCCAUGAAGUUAUUGUAAAAUAACUCAGAUCUCCAUAUAUUUCAACUGUUAAAACUAUCAGCUUUGACCUACUCCCAGUUUUACAACUUUCUACCUUUCCUCGAUGUUCUGCCUUCCAUCAUUAAAAUUCCUUUGGCGGAUAUUAAAAUAAGGCCACCAGAAGCACUGACAUAAAUGGUAGAAUGGCCAUGAUAGCAGCAGCUUACUUUUCUGCAGAGCACAUGGUGCAUUGUGACAAUUCCAGCGAUCAUCCAGAAAAUUUACCAAUUAUCAUCAUUUUUAAUAGUAAACUUAUUAGAACUCUUGGAGUUUGUCAUUCAACUUUUUUUUCCAAGCUUUCCAGCCAAAAAUAAAAAAAUUAUUCCAAUGCAUAGAAUUUAUUAGCUAGUGUUUCUAGCUAAUAUCCUCAUUAGUCUUCUGGAAUCUGUUUGGAAUACUCAGAAUAAGGAUGUUUGGUCUGAACUAUUAUUCCGAUUUUUGCUUGCAUCAAAUAAUUGUUACUAGUAACUUUGAAUCAGGUGUGAAUGGGACUACACAGGGCCCAUGCAGACAAAAUCAACCAUGAUUGACAGCCAUGACUAGGGCCGAACGGUGACACCACAUUGUCAUCAAGAAACCACUCCAAUUCAGUAGAAUCAAUAAUGGAAACCCCAGUGUGCUGAUGACCACCCUCCUUGUCCUACACCUCCACCCACCACCAUUUCUUCAACUGCUAGAAUUACAUGCCACUAAUCAUGCUUGUGACACUGUUUAGCUUUCUAGCAAAGCAAUGGCACCUAGCAAAAACUGACAAGGACCCUGUUUCCCUUCUCCUAUUCCUAUCUUAACACUAUGCUGUUCCUUAUAUAACAAUUGAUUUGUUAGUUAUAAACAGUAUGGAAUGAAAAUUAACCUAAAUUUUGAGCAGGAAAAGAGAAGGAAGAUAGAUUCAUCUAUGUUGUACGCCAAACAUUUGGUGUCUAUAAUGUUAAUGAAUCGAAUUCAAGGACAAGUAAAUAAACCAACCAAUGCAGUAUGACAGCAAGCAGCAAUCCUAAAUUGCUUUCUAAACAUUGUCACCAUUAUGCAACAGAAACAUCUACUCCAUCAGAAAAUUCAUAACAAUGAUAUUGCAAUACAUAAAUAACACUCAGAUAAAGAAUUCAAUUUUUCAGAUCAACAAUCUUGCUGGCCUAGGUUGUAACAAUGCCUUCACUAUCUAUCUGGCAAUAUAUAUAACAUUCUGAGCAAAUCGAGAAGGCAAAAAGAUGUGGAAACAAUAAGAUGUAUAUCAAGUUAUCAACAAUAUUAGCAUGAUUCGGAAUUAUUAGAACAAAUCCAAUGAGUCAAAACUCCAUCGCAUUAUAAAACCAUAUUUGCAUGUGAAAGGCAUGAAGCCUCAAAUCCGAACACUCUUUCCGGCAUCACCAUAAGAUAUAUUGCCAGAAGCCAACAGAAAUUCGUAAAAAAAAAAUUGCAUCACAACAAUAAGAAACAAGAGAUGCAAUGCCAGCCACAUCAUGAUCUGUUUAUUAAAUUAAGUUCACCAUCUUGCAGCAAAUCAAAAAGUUUAAAACAAGGAUCCAUACAAAUAUUCUCUAUAGAUUCCCUCAGCGACAGGGUUUUGCCGACGACCAAAAUGAUGCGCCGCAUUUCCGAGAACGAAUAGAUCCGAAACGCCACGAACGCCAGAAAUUCCAGAAGUUAGGGAGAGAGAGAAGAAAAGCAAGUAUCGCUUAGGGUACAGAUGGAAUUCUUUUGGUUAAGUGGUGGGGGAGGAGAAGAAGGCGGAUGAGGGCAAGAUUUUGAGGAGAAAGUAGCAGAGGAAACAGAAGAAGACGAGGAGGAAGAGGUAAUCCACCAUCACGAAGAAGGUGGUCGAUCCGUGCCUCCGCUGGGCCUCCUUCUUCCCCUCCAUUGAGACGCCCCUCUUCUUCUCCUCUGCUCUCGCCGGCAGCGUCGCGAUCCAAGAACGCUUUUUUGGCGUUGGUGCUUUCGGAUGACACUUUCUAAUUUCCGUUGAUUUAAGAUUAUCUCAUUUGUUAUACUAUAUUUU
rnacentral:lncRNA from 1 species